GUGGGUAUAGCUCAGUUGGUUAGAGCGCCGCACUGUGGCUGCGGAGGCCGAGGGUUCGAAUCCCUUUACCCACCCCA
rnacentral:tRNA from 1 species